AUUGAACGCUGGCGGCAUGCUUUACACAUGCAAGUCGAACGGCAGCGCGGGCUUCGGCCUGGCGGCGAGUGGCGAACGGGUGAGUAAUGCAUCGGAACGUGCCCAGCUGCGGGGGAUAGCCCGGCGAAAGCCGGAUUAAUACCGCAUUAGACCUGAGGGUGAACGCGGGGGACCGAAAGGCCUCGCGCCAUUGGACGGGUCGAUGUCGGAUUAGCUAGUUGGUGGGGUAAAGGCUUACCAAGGCGACGAUCCGUAGCUGGUCUGAGAGGACGACCAGCCACACUGGGACUGAGACACGGCCCAGACUCCUACGGGAGGCAGCAGUGGGGAAUUUUGGACAAUGGGGGCAACCCUGAUCCAGCCAUGCCGCGUGCGUGAAGAAGGCCUUCGGGUUGUAAACCGCUUUUGUUCGGGAAGAAAUCCUCUGGGCUAAUACCCUGGGGUGAUGACGGUACCGGAAGAAUAAGCACCGGCUAACUACAUG
rnacentral:rRNA from 1 species